rnacentral:rRNA from 1 species
AGGAGAGAUGGUUUAAAGGGGUGCGAGAGCUUCUUUCUUGUACCUGCUCUAGGAUGGGACUGCGGCCGAUCAGGCUGUUGGUGGGGUAAUGGCCCACCAAACCUGUAACCGGUACGGGCCUUGAGAGAGGGGGCCCGGAGAUGGACACUGAGAGAAGGGUCCAGGUCCUACGGGGCGCAGCAGGCGCGAAACCUUCGCAAUGCGCGAAAGCGUGACGAGGUUAAUCCGAGUGGUCCCCGCUGAGGGGAUCUUUUCUUGGCUCUAAAACGGCCAGGGAAUAAGGGGAGGGCAAGUCUGGUGUCAGCCGCCGCGGUAAUACCAGCUCCUCGAGUGGUCGGGGCGAUUAUUGGGCCUAAAGCAUCCGUAGCCUGUUCCGUAGGUCUUCUGUUAAAUCCAACGGCUUAACCGUUGGCCUGCAGAAGAUACCGCGGGACUAGGAGGCGGGAGAGGUGGACGGUACUCUACGUGUAGGGGUAAAAUCCUUUGAUCCGUAGAAGACCACCAGUGGCGAAGGCGGUCCACCAGAACGCGCUCGACGGUGAGGGAUGAAAGCUGGGGGAGCGAACCGGAUUAGAUACCCGGGUAGUCCCAGCCGUAAACGAUGCGAGCUAGAUGAUCCAAUCGCAAAUCGCGAUUGGAGUGUCGCAGGGAAGCCGUUA